CUUGUUUUUGCAUGUCAGAUUAUUUGAGGAGGUGGAAGGAUUUGGUUUGUGGUUUGUGGAAGAGGAUUGAUGAGUCUGAGAAGAUCAAGCAACAAUUGGCAGAGUGUUUGGGAAUUCCACGAUAUUAAAUCGCAGACUCACAGUCCCUAUCCACAGGUGUUAAAGAUCAUAACUACAAAACUUGGAAUUACAAAAGGCAAAUACAUGCAUCUUUUUUAGUCGAAACCCAGUCUUAGAGUGGGGAAAUAAUUACUACAAAACUUGGGUUUACCAAGGGCAAGAAUAUAUGGAGCUUGGCCUCUAGUCUUUGAGUGAAGAGUUCUUCACUCGUUUAUAUUCACUAUUUUUGGAUAUGUUAUGUGUACUUGAAUAACUAGUAUGCUCGUGUACUUUUGAAUGAAAGAAACUUUUAUUCA